GGGAUACCAUUGAAACGAUGGCUAAUACGCAUAAUGCUCGGGCCAAAGAGGGGACCUUCGGGCCUCUCGCGUCAGAUAUGCCUAGGUGGAUUAGCUAGUUGGUGAGGUAAAGGCUCACCAAGGCGACGAUCCCUAGCUGGUCUGAGAGGAUGAUCAGCCACACUGGAACUGAGACACGGUCCAGACUCCUACGGGAGGCAGCAGUGGGGAGUAUUGCACAAUGGGCGCAAGCCUGAUGCAGCCAUGCCGCGUGUGUGAAGAAGGCCUUCGGGUUGUAAAGCACUUUCAGUCGUGAGGAAGGCGGUACAGUUAAUAGCUGUAUUGUUUGACGUUAGCGACAGAAGAA
rnacentral:rRNA from 1 species